CCUACGGGAGGCAGCAGUGAGGAAUAUUGGUCAAUGGCCGGAAGGCUGAACCAGCCAUGCCGCGUGAAGGUCAGUGCCCUAUGGGCGUUAAACUUCUUUUGUGCGGGAGCAAUAAUGGUCACGUGUGGCCAGACGAGAGUACCGUACGAAUAAGCAUCGGCUAACUCCGUGCCAGCAGCGGCGGUAAUACGGGUGAUGCAAGCGUUCUCCGGAUUUAUUGGGUUUAAAGGGUGCGUAGGCUGUGAUGUAAGUCAGCGGUGAAAUGCCCCGGCUCAACGGGGUGAAGUGCCAUUGAUACUGCUGUGCUGGAAUGCGUAUGCCGUGGGAGGAAUGUGUGGUGUAGCGGUGAAAUGC
rnacentral:rRNA from 1 species